GAGAUAUGAUGAGGUUUUAUUUGGUCCGUGUUUCUGAUUAAACAGUGACCGAUAAAUUUUUUAACCAAACUCUGAUCUC